AUUGAACGCUGGCGGCAGGCCUAAUACAUGCAAGUCGAACGAGUGGCGGACGGGUGAGUAAUGUCUGGGAAACCGCCCGAUGGAGGGGGAUAACUACUGGAAACGGUAGCUAAUACCGCAUACCAUCGGAUGUGCCCAGAGGGGGUUAGCUAGUAGGUGGGGUAACGGCUCACCUAGGCGACGAUCCCUAGCUGGUCUGAGAGGAUGAACAGCCACACUGGAACUGAGACACGGUCCAGACUCCUAUGGGAGGCAGCAGUGGGGAAUAUUGGACAAUGGGCGCAAGCCUGAUGCAGCAAUGCCGCGUGUAUGAAGAAGGCCUUCGGGUUGUAAAGUACUUUCAGCGAGGAGGCGUUACUCGCAGAGGAAGCACCGGCUAACUACGUGCCAGCAGCCGCGGUAAUUC
rnacentral:rRNA from 1 species